rnacentral:rRNA from 1 species
CACGUAGGGGGCAAGCGUUGUCCGGAAUCAUUGGGCGUAAAGAGCUCGUAGGCGGCUCAGUAAGUCGGGUGUGAAACCCUCAGGCUCAACCUGGGGACGCCACCCGAUACUGCUGUGGCUAGAGUCCAGUAGGGGAGUGUGGAAUUCCCGGUGUAGCGGUGAAAUGCGCAGAUAUCGGGAGGAACACCAGCGGCGAAGGCGGCACUCUGGGCUGGUACUGACGCUGAGGAGCGAAAGCGUGGGCAGCAAACAGG